rnacentral:lncRNA from 1 species
AUUUAUAAGUAGCUGGUUUUCUUUAACCUACUAGCUCCCAAAUUAUUGAGACAUGGACUAUUAGAAUUACUUAAUAAGCUUUAUGGCACAGUAAUUGGGAAGUUAUUAAUCUAAUCCUCUAAGGUAACCUGGCUACCUCACAAGCAAUAUGCCCAAGAUACUUCCCUUUGGAUAUUGAUAUGGCUCUCUCUGCUCCAUGUGUUUUCUCAUGGUGUCUUCUGGGCUCUCUCCUAGAGACCAAUUCUCUCUUUGUCUCUAUUCCCCACUCUCCACUGUGAACAGAAGUCCAGCUCUAUUCUCUCCUCUGCUCAGUUACUGGCUGAUCAGGUGUUAUUGGGCCAAUCAUUCUGAGGAUAACUGAGGACCAAUGUUUAUGCAACAUCGAGACAGGAGAGUCUUAGAAUAAGUAUUAUAAUGCCAUAUCCAGAUUGCAAGAAGAUAUAAGGGCUGAGAUAUCAGCAUUUGAAUAAUACAAGGAUAAUCAUUAUACAAUACCCCAUAACAUUAUGUGUAAAGUAGGUAUAUAGGCUCAAUACAUAUACUGUUGUCCAUAUCAAACUAAGAACCCUCAGUAUAUAUCAAGCAGUACCAUGAGCUCAGGGUCCUUUUGUGUCCUCUAGUGAUCUGUGAGCAGAACAAAAUGAAGGCUUCACAAAAAGAAGAUGGCAAAUCGUCACUAGUUGUGGUCCAACCAAGGAAAAGGAGGCGUACGUAUUCUGGAAUGGCUUUCUCAGGACACACUGUAGAUAAGAACUGUGCACUUACUCAUUGUCUUUGUCUGGUUUCCAGGUGUUUUCAGAACAACCUGCUGGCAAGGAGGAUUUAGAGUAGAGUUUAAGAUCACAACUGCUGUUCUAAGUGACAAAUCAUGGUCAUGAGUCUGUAGUUACCUCUUUCCCCUUAGCUGCCUUGGGAUUUUGUGUAUAAUGACAUGACCAUGUGUGUUUCACUUAACUUUUUAAACCAAUUUACAGUGUCACUUUUGUGAAGGAAAGAAAUCAGAGUUCACCCAUUUGCUAAAUUAAUUAGUUCAGAGCUCAUUCAGCCAUGUAUGGUAGAUUAAUUUCUUUUCAAGCCAUGUCACCUAAGAACCAGCCAGGACAGGGAAAUAAGUGACCAAGGUGGAUUGCUAGGGAGUAUGAGAGCUAAAUAUGUCCCCUGAUAUGUGGGCUAAAGAUCACACUUCAGUAUAUAACAUCUGACUCUCAUUCUAUAAAGACAUGUGUAGAAAUUAUGCAAAAUUCUCAGCUUUCCAGCAUAUACCUGGAACAAGCCUUACUUCCAGAAACAUAAAUAGUAAUGUGGCUUUU